rnacentral:rRNA from 1 species
AGAGUUUGAUCCUGGCUCAGGACGAACGCUGGCGGCGUGCCUAAUACAUGCAAGUAGAACGCUGAAGACUUUAGCUUGCUAAAGUUGGAAGAGUUGCGAACGGGUGAGUAACGCGUAGGUAACCUGCCUACUAGCGGGGGAUAACUAUUGGAAACGAUAGCUAAUACCGCAUAACAGCAUUUAACCCAUGUUAGAUGCUUGAAAGGAGCAAUUGCUUCACUAGUAGAUGGACCUGCGUUGUAUUAGCUAGUUGGUGAGGUAACGGCUCACCAAGGCGACGAUACAUAGCCGACCUGAGAGGGUGAUCGGCCACACUGGGACUGAGACACGGCCCAGACUCCUACGGGAGGCAGCAGUAAGGAAUCUUCGGCAAUGGGGGCAACCCUGACCGAGCAACGCCGCGUGAGUGAAGAAGGUUUUCGGAUCGUAAAGCUCUGUUGUAAGAGAAGAACGUGUGUGAGAGUGGAAAGUUCACACAGUGACGGUAACUUACCAGACAGGGACGGCUAACUACCGUGCCACCAGCCGCGGUAUAUACGGGGGAUGCGAGCGUUAUCCGGAUUCCUUUGGGUUUAAAUGGUGCGUAGGCUGUGCGUCAAGUCAGGGGUGAAAUUCCGGGGCUCAACUCCGGGGCUGCCCUUGAUACUGUCGCGCUGGAGUGCGGAUGCCGCCGGAGGAAUGAGUGGUGUAGCGGUGAAAUGCUUAGAUAUCACUCAGAACACCGAUUGCGAAGGCAUCUGGCGAAUCCGUAACUGACGCUGAGGCACGAAAGCGUGGGGAUAGAACAGGAUUAGAUACCCUGGUAUUCCACGCCGUAAACGAUGAUGGCUAACCGCCGGCGACACACUGUCGGUGGCCAAGCGAAAGCGAUAAGCCAUCCACCUGGGGAGUACGUCGGCAACGAUGAAACUCAAAGGAAUUGACGGGGGCCCGCACAAGCGGAGGAACAUGUGGUUUAAUUCGAUGAUACGCGAGGAACCUUACCCGGGCUCGAACGGCGCCUGAGCCACCCAGAGACGGGUGGGUCUUCGGACAGGUGCCGAGGUGCUGCAUGGUUGUCGUCAGCUCGUGCCGUGAGGUGUCGGCUCAAGUGCCAUAACGAGCGCAACCCCUGCCGCCAGUUGCCAUCAGGUCAUGCUGGGCACUCUGGCGGGACUGCCACCGCAAGGUGUGAGGAGGGGGGGGAUGACGUCAAAUCAGCACGGCCCUUACGUCCGGGGCGACACACGUGUUACAAUGGCGGCCACAGAGGGAAGCUACCCGGCGACGGGAUGCGGAUCUCGAAAAGCCGUCCCAGUUCGGACUGGAGUCUGCAACCCGACUCCACGAAGUUGGAUUCGCUAGUAAUCGCGCAUCAGCCAUGGCGCGGUGAAUACGUUCCCGGGCCUUGCACACACCGCCCGUCAAG